AGCUCCAGUAGCGUAUAUUAAAGUUGUUGCAGUUAAAAAGCUCGUAGUUGGAUUUCUGAUGAGCCGCUACGGCCCGCUGUCUUUAUGUCAGUGCGUGCUGUGUCGUGCUUGUCAUCCUUCCAGUAAGCUGUGCCUACCGUUCAUUCGGCCGGGUACAUGUAAGCUGGAUCUAUUACUUUGAAAAAAUUAGAGUGUUUAAAGCAGGCUUAUGCUGUGAAUACAUUAGCAUGGAAUAAUAUUUUAGGACUUUGGUUCUAUUUUGUUGGUUUCUAGGACUGAAGUAAUGAUUGAUAGGGAUAGUUGGGGGUGCUAGUAUUCCAUGGCCAGAGGUGAAAUUCUUGGAUUCAUGGAAGACUAACUACUGCGAAAGCAUUCACCAAGGAUGUCUUCU
rnacentral:rRNA from 1 species